GCCAGGUGUGGUGGUGCACACCUGUAAUCCCAGCAGCUCGGGAGGCUGAGGCAGGAGGAUCGCCAGUUCAAAGCCAGCCUCAGCAAAAUCGAGGUGCUAAGCAACUCAGUGGGACCCUGUCUCUA
rnacentral:sRNA from 1 species